UACGGAGGAUGCAAGCGUUAUCCGGAUUUAUUGGGCGUAAAGCGUCCGCAGGUGGCUAUUCAAGUCUGCUGUCAAAGCUCGGAGCUUAACUCCGAAUCGGCGGUGGAAACUGAACAGCUAGAGUGCAGUAGGGGUAGAGGGAAUUCCCAGUGUAGCGGUGAAAUGCGUAGAGAUUGGGAAGAACACCGGUGGCGAAAGCGCUCUACUGGACUGCAACUGACACUCAGGGACGAAAGCUAGGGGAGCGAACGGG
rnacentral:rRNA from 1 species